UUGUACAAGACCACUGACCUGCUUUGUCUCACAUGUGAGUGGUGUUAUUUCUUAAGUGCUAUACAAAUAACUGAAGAUUAAUUAGCAGUAUAAACUAAAUAGUAAUGCUGCCAGUCUCCUUCAAACACAC
rnacentral:snoRNA from 1 species